AUGAGGAUACUUCUACUUCUUGGAGCUACAUUCUUUUUCAGUGUUUCAAUAAAUGCUUAUGAGCAAUGUGAGAACGGUGGAACCCCAAUUAACUCAACGGCUUGUCAAUGUCCAGCAUUUGUAGCAGGAGAGAGAUGUGAAAUUGUGAAAAAUAGAACACACUAUCUACCAACACUUUUAAUCAUCAAAAGUCAAAAGGUUUCCAACUUUGAAAGUGACGUUUUGCAAAACGUCCACCGAGGGGUGCUGCAAGUGACUCCAACUUCUUGCACACGUUUGGCAUUUUAAGAAAUGUCAACGAUGGGGAAUACCGGAUAAGGAUCGUUGUGUCUGUGCUCCGGGAUGGUAUGACAAGUACUGUGGAAUCAGAGGAUGCAGGCCUCCAAAUGAGGGGAAUUUGGAUAACUCGAAGAGAAGUAUCAUAAUCGUUUUCAAUAUGAAAAGCUCGAUGGCUGAGCAACUAGAAACCCUGCGAAGUAAUUUUAAAGGAAUGGUGAAUUCAAUUACUCAAAAUUGGAAUAAAAAUAAGGAAUCUGAAAAUUGGAUUGCCAACUUUAUGUUCUACGGAUUUGUGCAACAAGGGCAGCAGUUGACGAUUACGAAAAACUUCACAGAGAGCCUUGAUGAAUUUUUGAACUUUUUGGGAUCUCUGAAACUUCAAGACGGAGAUACCAGUCAGCCCGUCCUAGCUGCAGUUAAAAACGCCCAACAAACAUUCCCACUGACAAAAUCCCAUUCUAUAGUUCUUGUAUUCACGGAUAGCCCAGCUUCUGAUGCAACACCAUGGUCACAUAGAUUUGAAGACAAGAAUCUGGAACAGUUGUGCUUGCAGAUUUCGUUUUUAUGGAGAUCUAAAGUAUCAUUCAUUUUAUCGCUUCCUUCUGGAACCGAUAGUUCUGUGGAUGGUGUGGAUGUUUAUAGAAGACUCUCAAUGUCAACCCACGGUGAUUAUUUGAAUGCGAACAAUGCAGAGGAAGUCAAAAAUAUUCUUACCACAGUUAUCUCUACAUAUUUCUUCCCAGAAAAUGUUGGAGUUGGUUUUGGAAUUGAAACGGUAACUUCAAUUGAACCAACUGCUGAUAACAUUAAUGAUUGGGUUUUUACAUUGUUCACAAAAGAUUUUGGGAGCAAGUAUGAGCUUCCAGAAGUCGCAGGAGCUACUUUGAUUUCAAAGGGGAAAAAUUACAAGCUAGUCGCCGGACAGAACAUGAAAGUUGUCAAUAUAACUUCCGUGGCAGGGCCUUACAACUACCGUACCUACCUCCAAUCUAAACACACACUUCUCUUCGAUUACAAUAGUGAUAUGAUGAUUGACGUUGGAAAUGGAAUUGUUCAUCUUGGCGUCACAAUGCAUUCAACUAUCCGAACUUUUGGUUUCCCCGAGUUCCAGAGCAUGUCUUAUCACAUCACUCAGGCAAAUGAUAAGCUAGUUCGUGAAGCCUACAUGGCUUUCAAGAGACCACAAGAGGAUUGCACUUUUGAAUGGGCGUUUGAUCCAUGGGUCAACACUAUUGAGUGUCCACCGGGACCUAUCACACAAGUGCAUUUGCUGAACUACGAUGGGUAUUACAAGGGAAGGGUGACUCCUGGAUAUUGCGAUGAGAUUGCUCACUACUCUCCUCAAAUCCAGGGAAACAUCGUGCCUGAUGUCCAGCGUAAUUUUGUUUUCGACCAUUCCCGAGCUAUCACUCAAUCAUGCCCGGUAACAAAUAUCAAUGCAAUCAAUGAUCCUCGCCUUGAGUCCCCGAAUCAGUUUAUUUUCAUUUUGGAGCAACAUUCCGGAAACAAAAAUAUCUAUACAACAUUGGCAGCUGAAAUCGAGAAAAUUGUGAAUCUUACUAAUCCAGUCACAGACAGUUCUUAUCAAAAAGAGUUCACACUGAUUGUUUUUAAUGAUGUCAAAUCUCGAGUAAUGUUCAGUGCCUACAAUCCAUUGAAUUUCAUUAAAAGUUUCCGAACAGUUAUUAAUGAACUUGAAUAUGUGAACCAAUUGGAAAGCUCGUUGGGAUUACUGUCAAUUGUGCAAGCUCAAAAGCAAAACAUCAAGCCCGUUUCUCAAGUGUACUAUUUCACAAACCAAGCGACCAAAACUGUAGCGCAAGUUAACCGGGGAUGGGAUAUUAUUGAUAGAAAUAUCGAGUUCAAUUUCUUCACUAUUGCCGAUGGUGUGACUACAGAAAUAUUUUCUCUUCCGACUGAGUUGAAUCUUGUUCAGAAAAUGAGCAACGGAAGACUUGUGACGCUAGGUUCAAAUGAAAAAACUCUUGUGAACCUGUUUGCUGACAUCAUGACUAUGAAUGCACUCACCACUGAUAACCAGAACUACGACUGUCAUUUGGCUCCUUAUAUAAACAAUGCUUUCGUUGAAAAGAACUCUGCAGCUACAGUAUUCCAAUUUAUUGGAACUGGAAUCAAGGAUAUUUCCAUCACUGACGCGUCUGGAAAAUCAGUUUCAGUAGAUUCUAACACUCGAUUCCAAAAUGGGAAUUUCAAAUCUAUUAACAUCGACUCUUCAACUUACACCCCUGGAACUUGGAAGGUUUCCGUGUCCACUUCAAGCGGUGGAUGCCAACUUUCAGUCAGACAAAAGUCGGCAACUGGAGUUAUACUUGGGUUCACUAAAACAAAUGACUUGGAUAUUGUAAACUCCCAGAUUCCCAUUCAGAGAUCACUGUCAUCUGAUAAUUCUCCAAUGUAUGUUCCCAUUCGAAUCAGACAACAGAAAGAUUUGGAGAUUAAGUUGAACUAUCAAUUAGAAAUUCAACUGGUUGACACAUCUCGAUACGACCAACCUAUCAGCUAUCAGAACACCACCAUCUUAAGCCGUGACUCUUCCACAUGUUCCUACAACUACAUUACUCCUCAAAUCACAAUUCCUCGGAACGACGUGACUUCUUGGAUAUUGACCAGCUAUGAUGAUGAAAAUAAUUUGAUUCUUCGAAGAAUUGUCUACUAUUAUCAGCACUCACCAGCAGAUACCUCUGUCUGUCAUGGAGAACAAGUCGAUAAAUAUGGUCAAUGUGUUUGUCCUGAAAGAUACACUGGAGAAUACUGCUGGGAUAGAAUAUGUGCAUCGGGUGCAACUCUCUCGUAUGGAAUUUGUAGUUGCUCUUCGGGAUUUUAUGGUGAUUUUUGUGAACUUGAACUGCUAAUGCCUAAUGCUACAACUACAUCACUGAUCCCGGAAACAACUACUAAGACUGGAUCAAAUAUUGCGCGUUUAUCUGUCAUUAUAUUUAUUCUAAUGAGCUUUUAUUAUUAA
rnacentral:misc_RNA from 1 species